rnacentral:rRNA from 1 species
UACGAAGGGGGCUAGCGUUGCUCGGAAUCACUGGGCGUAAAGGGUGCGUAGGCGGGUCUUUAAGUCAGGGGUGAAAUCCUGGAGCUCAACUCCAGAACUGCCUUUGAUACUGAGGAUCUUGAGUCCGGGAGAGGUGAGUGGAACUGCGAGUGUAGAGGUGAAAUUCGUAGAUAUUCGCAAGAACACCAGUGGCGAAGGCGGCUCACUGGCCCGGUACUGACGCUGAGGCAUGAAAGCGUGGGGAGCAAACAGG